AAGGGACCUGGUCUGCUGAUGCUACCAGCAAGUUUGUUACCCCUCAGACUGGAUGAAUGAAUAAAUAAUCUGAUAGAGACUUAUCCCACCAUCUGGCUCCUUAAGGGUUCCCUGUCUUUUACCUGUCUGCACAGGUAAAAGAUAUCUGGCUGCCAGGUUGAGAAAAUGUACCUGGGAGAAGCCUGGCAGGCCACUCUUUCCACAGAGCAGACGUGGAGAACAGGGUGCUUUUCUAAUUUAACGCAAUGAUUCUGAG
rnacentral:lncRNA from 1 species